UACGUAGGGGGCAAGCGUUGUCCGGAUUUAUUGGGCGUAAAGAGCGUGUAGGCGGUUCGGUAGGUCCGUUGUGAAAACUCGAGGCUCAACCUCGAGACGCCGAUGGAAACCAUCGAACUAGAGUCCGGAAGAGGAGAGUGGAACUCCUGGUGUAGCGGUGAAAUGCGCAGAUAUCAGGAAGAACACCCGUGGCUAAGGCAGCUCUCUAGUACGGUACUGACGCUGAGACGCGAAAGCGUGGGGAGCGAACAGG
rnacentral:rRNA from 1 species